UACGGGGGGAGCAAGCGUUGUUCGGAUUUACUGGGCGUAAAGGGCGCGUAGGCGGUCAGCACAAGUCAGUUGUGAAAUCUCCGAGCUUAACUCGGAAAGGUCAACUGAUACUGUGCGACUAGAGUGCGGAAGGGGCAACUGGAAUUCUUGGUGUAGCGGUGAAAUGCGUAGAUAUCAAGAGGAACACCUGCGGCGAAAGCGGCUCUCUGGGGCGGUACUGACGCUGAGACGCGAAAGCGUGGGGAGCAAACAGG
rnacentral:rRNA from 1 species